rnacentral:rRNA from 1 species
UUUUAUGAGAGUUUGAUCCUGGCUCAGGACGAACGCUGGCGGCGUGCCUAAUACAUGCAAGUCGAACGCUUCUUUUUCCACCGGAGCUUGCUCCACCGGAAAAAGAGGAGUGGCGAACGGGUGAGUAACACGUGGGUAACCUGCCCAUCAGAAGGGGAUAACACUUGGAAACAGGUGCUAAUACCGUAUAACAAUCGAAACCGCAUGGUUUUGAUUUGAAAGGCGCUUUCGGGGGUCGCUGAUGGAUGGACCCGCGGUGCAUUAGCUAGUUGGUGAGGUAACGGCUCACCAAGGCCACGAUGCAUAGCCGACCUGAGAGGGUGAUCGGCCACAUUGGGACUGAGACACGGCCCAAACUCCUACGGGAGGCAGCAGUAGGGAAUCUUCGGCAAUGGACGAAAGUCUGACCGAGCAACGCCGCGUGAGUGAAGAAGGUUUUCGGAUCGUAAAACUCUGUUGUUAGAGAA